UACGUAGGUGGCAAGCGUUGUCCGGAGUUACUGGGCGUAAAGGGUGGGCAGGCGGUCGUGUCAGUUGGGUGUGAAAUCCCCCGGCUCAACCGGGAGGGGCCACUCGUGACUGCACGGCUGGAGGGCAGCAGAGGCGCGUGGAAUUCCGGGUGGAGUGGUGAAAUGCGUAGAGAUCCGGAGGAACACCAGAGGCGAAGGCGGCGCGCUGGGCUGCACCUGACGCUGAACCACGAAAGCCAGGGUAGCGAACGGG
rnacentral:rRNA from 1 species